rnacentral:rRNA from 2 species
CGGCGGACGGGUGAGUAACACGUGGGUAACCUACCUAUAAGACUGGGACAACUUCGGGAAACCGGAGCUAAUACCGGAUAAUAUGUUGAACCGCAUGGUUCAAUAGUGAAAGAUGGUUUUGCUAUCACUUAUAGAUGGACCCGCGCCGUAUUAGCUAGUUGGUGAGGUAACGGCUCACCAAGGCAACGAUACGUAGCCGACCUGAGAGGGUGAUCGGCCACACUGGAACUGAGACACGGUCCAG